AUGGCCGACACCGACGGUGAGGAGAGCUGCUGGACGCCCGCGGCCGCCGCCACCUCCAGCCACGGCGGCGACGGGGCGCAGCUGUCCGGCGUGAGGAGGGAGAUCUACGACCGCCUGCGGGCCGCCGGCAACCAGGAGGCGCUCUCCGACCCCUUCUUCGACCGCUUGCUCGAGGACCACUUCGAGCGCCUCCCGUCCAGCUACUACGUCGACCUGGACGUGAACAAGGCGGAGGACGUGCUGCUGCACCGCCGGAUCCUCGCCGAGUGCGCCGACCCCGACAACCGCCCCGUCUUCCACGCACGCUUCCUACGGUACCUUCAAGAGGACAAACCUGCAGGAGGGAUACACAAAUUCACCUUCAUGAAAUUAUUUUUUGUUCCAAUGACAAGCGAACGCUCCUUAGUCAGCUAUGUUGGCUGUUGUCCGAUCUUGGAUUGA
rnacentral:rRNA from 1 species